GGGGACGUAGCUCAGUUGGGAGAGCGGCGGCUUUGCAAGCCGUAGGUCGAGAGUUCGAAUCUCUUCGUCUCCA
rnacentral:tRNA from 1 species